AAUAAGAUGCCUGAUUAAAGGAUUAUUUUGAUGUAAUAAAUUAUGUAAACUAAAAUUACUCUUAUUA
rnacentral:tRNA from 1 species